GACGAACGCUGGCGGCGUGCUUAACACAUGCAAGUCGAACGGAAAGGCCCUGCUUUUGUGGGGUGCUCGAGUGGCGAACGGGUGAGUAACACGUGAGUAACCUGCCCUUGACUUUGGGAUAACUUCAGGAAACUGGGGCUAAUACCGGAUAUGAGCUCCUGCUGCAUGGUGGGGGUUGGAAAGUUUCGGCGGUUGGGGAUGGACUCGCGGCUUAUCAGCUUGUUGGUGGGGUAGUGGCUUACCAAGGCUUUGACGGGUAGCCGGCCUGAGAGGGUGACCGGCCACAUUGGGACUGAGAUACGGACCAGACUCCUACGGGAGGCAGCAGUGGGGAAUAUUGCACAAUGGGCGGAAGCCUGAUGCAGCAACGCCGCGUGCGGGAUGACGGCCUUCGGGUUGUAAACAGCUUUCGCCUGUGACGAAGCGUGAGUGACGGUAAUGGGUAAAGAAGCACCGGCUAACUACGUG
rnacentral:rRNA from 1 species